ensembl:lncRNA
AUGAAAAACACGGAAAAUGCAACUCAAGGUGGACUUUUCUUGUUUUAUUCAGACAGGGAGGUUGUGAGGCCUGAACCUGUAGGCUUUAGAUACUGGAGGACACCUGAAAAAACACAGUCCGUCCUCCAUCAGGCUUCAGGAUCUGUGAGCUCCGAGGGAGGACAAAAUGGACCGCAAGCCUGGAAUCCAAAAGCCAAGAUGGACACGGGCCAUGCUGGACCUCAUCCCGUGUUGAGAGAUCCCACACGCAGGCGUGGAAGUGCACCGGAGUCCUUCAGCUCCUCAAUUUCAUCCAUCACUAUCACUUCCAGGAAGGUCACACAGAUUUCCAAGCCUUUGUGUACAACGAUGAAUGACCUCGCCGAUGGACGAAGAAAAGCCUUAGUGGUCAAAGUCACCGAACAGAGAACGACAAGCACCACCAGCCGGCCCAUCAUCUCUGCCUCUGGCUGUAAUCAUGAAGAGAUUGACCAUGGCGUGGUACUCAGGAGAAAGGCAACCAUUGUGAAAAUGACCGAACAGAGAGAGUGUUUCAGUCCAUCACAAUACAGACACAGCUACACUGAAGGACUCAAUGAAGCCCAGUUAAGGAAUGAAUCUGAAGUCAAUCCCUCACCAUUAAACCAAACACUCACUAUAUCUUUAGAGCCAGGAGGAAACCAGUGGAGGUCCCAGCACAGAUCUAGCCUGUCUCUUUACCUUAACAACCUAAAUACUAGCAGCACAGCAGGGGAGAGCAACACCAAAAAAUACAAGCAACCUGGAAGGCCUCUCAGCUGCGACGCAAGCUUGUUUAACUGCACAGAACUUAGCACUAAUGCAGUUACACAUCCAGCAUUUUACAACAAAAGCUCUCCUGUUCCCCAGAAGACAAAUAUUGACCUUGUUAGUUCCAGCAGCAGUGAAGCAAGAAGGUGCUCAGCCUCCAGUGGCGAGGACGGGAGCGCAGGGAAAGAGGGAUUGGAGUUGGAUCGAAGGCUUGAGGAGCGAGAGGGACCUAUUUCAGGAAUCAAACCUCUCACGCUACUCAAAGCAGCAGGUAAUAGCAGAACCUCUGUGGAUAUUCGGCGGUAGAUGUACAAGAACACACUGUAGGCUGAGGCUGCGCUGUGCUUCUUUGAUGUAUAAUGGAUGAGUAUGAUCGUGCAUGUGAGAGAGCAGAGGUUUUAAUUGAAGUUUUCAUGGCAGGUACGCACGGUAGCGGUGGACUGCCCUGAAAUGAGAGAUUUCUCUGCUGUCUCUCUCUUUCGGUCUUGCGUUUUCUCAUCUUUUCAUUUUCCCACACAUCUCUUUGCAUGCAUAAUCUAUUUCUACCCUGCUUUCAAUACCUGUUUUUGAGCUUCCGUGGGAAUUUAGAGCUGCUACACACACAGAGAAAUCUGACAGCCACUGAAAUACAUGCAUACACACAACUAUCUGUGGAUAUGAUCGGCGUAUGACAUCAAAGUACUGCGAGUGUGAUUGGAGAGCAGACAACUCUUUUAGCUUUUGAACUGCUCUCACGGUACUUUGAUGUCAUAUGCCGUACAGUCUAUGCAGCGUCGAUGCACCUUGAACAAGCCUAGUGUCGGCAUUUAGCCCCGCCCACCGAUUCUACAUCACUGCCUGUUUAGCCAAAUGCACUCUCUGCAUUUUCUUGUUUAACAGCACAAGUAUGUCAGUAUUUUAACUAACAGUAGUUUUGGCCUAGCAGAACUAUAUAUCAUUCUGCCACAGAACGUAGCAUACUCGCAUUACUUACAUUUCUGAAUGCAGCAACAAAAUCCCGCUUGCAUAGCCAGAAGCGUUUGCAUUCUGACACUUGUGUGCAGUGUGUUUCAGGCCUAGUAGAAACUCUGGAUGAUG